CUCCAUAUCUUUGCCCACAGGUGUUGUCAUUUGAGAUUUUAAUCUUAGUCAUUCUGACCAGUGUCACUUUAAUUUGCAUUUCCCUGAUGACUAAGGACUUAAACAUUUCUUUAAGUUCUUCUCUUCCAUUAGUUAUUUCUGUGAUGAAAAUUCUCGUUUUAGCCCUCUGCCCCAUUUUUAAAAAUUGUGUUAUUUGAUUUGUUGCUGUCUAAUCUCUUGAGUUCUUUAUAUAUUUUGAAUAACAGCCUUCUGUCUAAUCUAGGGUUUAUGAACAACCUUUCCCAUUCUGCAGGCUGCCAUUUUGUCCUUUAAAUGGUAUAUGUAGCCUCUCAAAAGAUUUUUAGUUACAUUAAGAACCAUUUAUUAAUUGUUGAUCUUAGUAAAUGAGUUAUUUGCAAUUGAAAUCAAAAUUCCAACAUAAUUCUUUACAACUUGGAAAUGCAGUUCUCAACUUCAUAUGAAAAAACAAAAAAAAAACACAAGACAAAACAAAACAAACAACUACAACAAAAAAUAGGAUAA
rnacentral:lncRNA from 1 species